rnacentral:rRNA from 1 species
UACGUAGGAUGCGAGCGUUGUCCGGAUUUACUGGGCGUAAAGCGUGCGUAGGCGGUUCGCUAAGUCGGUUGUGAAAUCCCUGGGCUUAACCUGGGAACUGCAGUCGAUACUGGCGGACUAGAGUACGGUAGAGGGUGGCGGAACUCCGGGUGUAGCGGUGAAAUGCGUAGAUAUCCGGAAGAACACCGAUGGCGAAGGCAACCACCUGGGCCUGUACUGACGCUGAGGUACGAAAGCGUGGGGAGCAAACAGG